rnacentral:rRNA from 1 species
GACGAACGCUGGCGGCGUGGAUUAGGCAUGCAAGUCGGACGGUAGGGCUUUAUCGUAAGAUAGAGUUUGAGAGUGGCGAACGGGUGAGUAACACGUAGGAAUCUACCCUUAAGACGGGGACAACCCAGGGAAACUUGGGCUAAUACCGGAUGAGAGUGCGAGAGAUUGCAUUUAAAAGGAUGGCGAAAGUUGUCGCUUAGGGAUGAGCCUGCGGUCUAUUAGUUAGUUGGUGAGGUAAGAGCUCACCAAGGCGAUGAUAGAUAGGCGGCCUUAACGGGUGGUCGCCCACACUGGGAUUGAGAUACGGCCCAGACUCCUACGGGAGGCAGCAGUCGAGAAUAGUCUACAAUGGCCGGAAGGCUGAUAGUGCGACGCCGCGUGAACGAGGGAGCCCUUCGGGUGUAAAGUUCUUUUCUAUACGAGCAGUGCUAUAUAUAUGGAUAGUAUAUAUAGAGGGAUAGUAGUAUAGGAAUAAGCAACGGCUAACUCCGUGCCACGCAGCCCGC